ensembl:lncRNA
AAUGGAUCGAGUGCUAGCUUUCUUGUAUCAACAACGCAUUUUGGCAAGACAGUUGGAGGAGGAAAGCCCAGAGGGAAUGUGAUAUACGGUAAAACAUUUGAAUAAUACCAAAAUAUUACAAAGUGAAACGUGUCCUUCCGAUUCCAGUUCUUCAAGUGCCCUGUCCUUCCUGGCAAAGGUAAACUGUAUUCCCAGUUUCCUGAGUGUCCCUUCAGAUAGUCUAUGAAUAGGUAAGUAUGUAUGUGGAUAUGUGAAGAGCUUCCCAGGUAGCACAGUGGCAAGAGAUGGGGGUCUCCCUAGGUCAGAAUAUCCCUUAGAGAAGGAAAUGGCAACCCCCUCCACUGUUCUUGCCUGUAAAAUUCCAUGGACAGAGAAACCUGCCGGGCUACAGUCCACAGUGUCACAAAGAGUUGGACACAACUGAGCGACUAAGCACACACCUAUGUACUUUUAUUUAUUUUACACAAGUGGAAGAAUUUUGCAGAGGAAGUGUACCAUAAGUGAAUAUGACUUAAAUCUACUCUAUAUAUCUGAAGUGAAAAAUAGAGUUCCCUACAUGUACUUGGCAAAAAAACAACAACAAUAACACCAAAAUAAAAGCAAUUAAAGCAGGAGAAAUUCAUGCUGGUGAUCGCACCUGCCAUUCGACUCAAUGACUGAGCAGGAGGUGGACGCAGCAACCCCUGUUCCUUGAACUGGACUCAUAUUCAGCAUAUGCACAGCCCUGCACCCAGAAUGAGACUGGCUUCUUAUUGUACCAUGGUAAGAAAACUUAACACGAGAUCUGCCCUUUUAACAGAGGGCAAUACAGUAUUUUAACAGUAUAAUAUAUUAAUACAGUAUUUUAAAGUGGGCAAUACAGUAUUGUUAACUCUAGGCACAGUAUUGUAAAGCAGAUGUCCAGAACUUAGUCAGCAUGCAUAUACAUCAUGAAACUGUAUACCUGGUGAUUAGCAACGCCUCCUUUCCCCUUCCACCAUCCCCUGGAACUUCCAUUCUAAUCUGAGUCUGACUAUUUUAGAUACCUCAUAGGAAUGAAAUCAUGCAUUAUUUGUCCCUUUG